rnacentral:rRNA from 1 species
CUUGCAGGGUACUCGAGUGGCGAACGGGUGAGUAACACGUGGGUGAUCUGCCCUGCACUUCGGGAUAAGCCUGGGAAACUGGGUCUAAUACCGGAUAGGAGCCAUUUUUAGUGUGAUGGUUGGAAAGUUUUUUCGGUGUAGGAUUAGCUCGCGGCCUAUCAGCUUGUUGGUGGGGUAAUGGCCUACCAAGGCGGCGACGGGUAGCCGGCCUUAGAGGGUGGACGGCCACAUUGGGACUGAGAUACGGCCCAG